UACGUAGGGUGCGAGCGUUGUCCGGAAUUAUUGGGCGUAAAGGGCUCGUAGGCGGUCUGUUGCGUCGGGAGUGAAAACUCAGGGCUUAACCCUGAGCCUGCUUCCGAUACGGGCAGACUAGAGGUAUGCAGGGGAGAACGGAAUUCCUGGUGUAGCGGUGAAAUGCGCAGAUAUCAGGAGGAACACCGGUGGCGAAGGCGGUUCUCUGGGCCGAUACUGACGCUGAGGAGCGAAAGCGUGGGGAGCGAACAGG
rnacentral:rRNA from 1 species